rnacentral:rRNA from 1 species
GGUAUGUAAAGCUCUAUCAGCAGGGAAGAUAAUGACGGUACCUGACUAAGAAGCACCGGCUAAAUACGUGCCAGCAGCCGCGGUAAUACGUAUGGUGCAAGCGUUAUCCGGAUUUACUGGGUGUAAAGGGAGCGCAGGCGGUGCGGUAAGUCUGAUGUGAAAGCCCGGGGCUCAACCCCGGUACUGCAUUGGAAACUGUCGUACUAGAGUGUCGGAGGGGUAAGCGGAAUUCCUAGUGUAGCGGUGAGAUGCGUAGAUAUUAGGAGGAACACCAGUGGCGAAGGCGGCUUACUGGACGAUAACUGACGCUGAGGCUCGAAAGCGUGGGGAGCAAACAGGAUUAGAUACCCUGGUAGUCCACGCCGUAAA